rnacentral:rRNA from 1 species
GACGAACGCUGGCGGCGUGCUUAACACAUGCAAGUCGAACGGAAAGGCCCUGCUUGCAGGGUGCUCGAGUGGCGAACGGGUGAGUAACACGUGGGUGAUCUGCCCCUUACUUUGGGAUAAGCCUGGGAAACUGGGUCUAAUACUGGAUAGGACCAUGCUGUAGGUGGUGUGGUGGAAAGAUUAGUUUCGGUAAGGGAUGAGCUCGCGGCCUAUCAGCUUGUUGGUGGGGUAAUGGCCUACCAAGGCGUCGACGGGUAGCCGGCCUGAGAGGGUGGACGGCCACAUUGGGACUGAGAUACGGCCCAGACUCCUACGGGAGGCAGCAGUGGGGAAUAUUGCACAACGGGCGCAAGCCUGAUGCAGCGACGCCGCGUGGGGGAUGACGGCCUUCGGGUUGUAAACUCCUUUCAGCCAUGACGAAGCCCUUGUGGUGACGGUAGUGGUAGAAGAAGCACCGGCUAACUACGUG